rnacentral:lncRNA from 1 species
CAAAAAGAUCGGUAACGUCGAGAAACGGAGAGAGGACAAAGAUUAUAUAAGAGCACAAGAGGCAGAUUUGAUUGGCUUGGUGGAAACCAAAGUGAGGAGUGGAAAGGCAGCCAGAAUUACCAGAUGCUUGGGAAAGAAUUAAAGUAAAUCCAUUACUGUGGAGAAUGAGUAAAUAAGUUUGACGAGUGUAAGGGCUAGUAAGACCUACCCGAGGGGAAUGUAAAAACAACAAUAGUUCCACAUGAAGGUCCUUAUAUGGAAUGUCAAAAAGAUCGGUAAAGUCGAGAAGCAGAGAGAGGCCAAAGAUUAUAUAAGAGCACAAGAGGCAGAUUUGAUUGGCUUGGUGGAAACCAAAGUGAGGAGUGGAAAGGCAGCCAGAAUUACCAGAUGCUUGGGAAAGAAUUAAAGUAAAUCCAUUACUGUGGAGAAUGAGUAAAUAAGUUUGUCGAGUGUAACGACUAGUAAGACCUACCCGCUUUAUUGAGCAUUUCCAUUCACUGAAGCAACUUGAACAAAAUAACAGUAAAAGAAAGAAAUUCAUUGACUUCGAAAAGGAGGUCAA